UUUGCGUUCCUUCUCCUCCACUCCUUCCUUGGCCUGUUUCUCUGCCCAUUUCUUCCGGCGAGCGAGCGCCCCUUGGUGCUUCCUAUUCCUUUUUAGUUUCGUUCAUAAACGCACAGAGAGCAAGAAACAUACAGCCAUGAUUCUCCUCCUCCUCUAACUCCCUUGAUCUUAGACCAUUUCCAAAACCGGAGAUAUCUAGGCGUGCGCCUCUACUUCCUCUUCCAAUCCCCUGGCAACUCAUGCCCUCUCUCUUCCUCCUCUGCCCAAGAACACUCGUUGAACUUUUGAAGCUCCAUGGAUGCAAGGUUUAGAUCCCGAUGACUCGGACCAUCUCUAUCUGAAUCCUUGUGCCAUAAACUCCUCCUCCAUGCCAUGAUUUCAUUCAGGGAAGAAGGAACGUGAUCCGUCAAGCACACACGAAGAAUUCGGCAUGUCCGCGUACACUGUUCAUCAAGUUCGUCGCACCGUUCCAUCAAACUCGAGUCCCAUGAAGACGAAGGUGAUGUCUAUGACAACUAUGGCGAUCCGUAGGAGUGAGGUCACGUGGACUACAUCGACUGUCUGUGGCUGAGUUGGAGUCACUACGCAUUGUACUUUCUGCUACUUUCUGAUUGUAAUAAAUUUCAUGAGAGUUUCUCUAUGUAUUCCUUGCGGCAAUAUUUAUUAAACUUGUAAUACUUUUACGUAUUGUGCAAUGAUACCAUUUCGCUGUGUUGUCAACAAUGAUCCUGGGGUUGAAAAAUA